rnacentral:rRNA from 1 species
AGAGUUUGAUCAUGGCUCAGGACAAACGCUGGCGGCGUGCAUAACACAUGCAAGUCGAACGGACCGGGAGACCGGUCAGUGGCGGACGGGUGAGGAACACGUGGGUAACCUGCCCAGAAGUGGGGAAUACCCGAGGGAAACCUCGCUAAUGCCGCAUGAGGUCGCGAGAGCGAGCAAAGCGCUUCGGCGCGCUUUUGGAG